AUCGUGCGAUAUGUCGAUCUACAUUUAUUUUAAUCAAAAAUAAACACGAUGACGUAAUAAUCACGCCACUCUGACAUCCGAACUCUAAUCUCGUCAAGUCAAACAGUAUAAAUACGGCUUCGGGAUUUCUGUUCAGGCAUAACACAUUUUUUGUGCGAUUUUAUUCGUUGGUGAGUACACAAACUUAUUAUAUACUUACGAGAACGAGUACCUAUAGUAUAUAUAUAUUUUAUUCCGUUAUUAAUAUUAUUGUGUGUUUUUUUUUUUUUAUUCUUGUUUACAGUCUUCACUUCUCGUUUCACGUAAACCUAACCAAAAAUCAAAAAUGGGCGCUGAAAAGGUAACCAUGAACAUCGUUGUCGUUGGACAAGUCCAACCCGCCAAGGCCCCCAAGACCGUCGCCAAGGCCGCCCCAGCCACCAGCCAACUGAUGGUGAGUGUACACUGUUAAAUAAAAAACACUACUCAUUAUUAGUCAUUAAACACUCGUUAAAGUUUUUGUAUUUUUGUAUUUUUUUUUUCCGUAAAGCGUUAUACUAUUAUGAUUUUUAUAUUUGAAAAAAAAAAACAACUACUUAAUUGUUUCAAAAAAUACGAGUACAAUGAGUGUAAUGCACUUCAUAUUAGACAGAUUAGAUAGGUAGAUUAUUCACUAACAAAGCAUCCGAGUAUUGGAUGAGAAAAAACUUACAUACAUACCACCAGUACCGAAUAAUAAUUUGAAUUUACAUUAAUAUCGAAAAACGGGCAUUAGCAGUGUAGUAGUAUAUAUAUACCGAUUAGCAGCCAAGCAAUAAUAAUAUCAAGUAAAACCAAGACUCCGGGUAUUGUAUAAUACUGUGAUAGUUGAGAAUAUAUUUUUUUUUUUUAAUGUAGAAAUAAAAUCUGUUCUGCCCUCUCCGGAUUAAGUCUGCUUCGUCUACUUUGUCAACAAAUCCUGCUUUGGAAAGAAUAUACACAUUCGAGUGUAUUCGAGCUCGAUGGAGGAACAGAAUUUUUCACUAAUCAUUUUUUAUUUCGUUAAUUUAGAUAUCGGGUACCAAAUAUUGACCGAUUAAUAAUUUACAUACAUACAGGGUACCGUAUAUUGGUCGGGUACUGCAUUAUUACUGAUUUAUUACUCGAUGAUCGGCUAUACUUGAAACAUCUCUACUUUAUAUUGAAUUUCGCCAUUAUUAAAAUACUCUAACAUACUACGUUUGGUUAUCCUCGAGUUUUCUAUUUUUCUAAUAUAUAAUAUAUAUAAUAUAUAUUCUAAUAUAUUUUUCUCUAUAUAUAUAUAUAUAUGUAUUUUUAACGAAAAUAAAUUAUCAUCGUUUAAUUAUCAAUUUCUUUUUUGCAUUGCAUUCCAUAUACCUACCCAAUAUUACUCAUAUAACUAUUUUAAGAAUUUAUCUAUACUUAACUCAAAUAAAUAUAUUUAUUUGUUGUGUUUUUUGUUUGUUUCAGUCCUGUUAAACUCAUGUAGUCCAUACAUUGCAAACUCAAAAAUGCCAUAGUCCAAACAAUACAAAUUAUGCAAUUAUUAUUAAUUAAUAUUAUGUAUAUUAUGUACUGACACCUCAAAAUAAACCAGUCCUAUCCGUCAUUUGAUUUUUUUUUUUCUAUUAACACUUUAUUUUAAAAUUUUGAUAGUUUAUAACGGUAUUUACCAAAUAAGCUCAAUAUUCUAUAAACAUAACGA